rnacentral:rRNA from 1 species
AUGGCAGUUCCGCCCACGGGCUCAAGAAUAUCAGCAACGUCGGCUCAACCCGCUAAUUCGAGACCCGCAAACUCAAGACCGUCAACAACAGCAAAUCCGCAUCUGACCUCAAGAACUUCAACGACGGCAAAUUUGUAUGCGACCUCAAGAACUUCAACAACUGCAAAUCCGUAUGCAACCUCAAGAACGCCAACAACGACAAAUCCGCCUGCAACCUCAAGAACGUCAACAAUGGCAAAUCCAUACGCAGCCUCAAGAAUGUUAGCAACAUCAGUAGCGGUGGCUCCUUCUGCGACCUCAAGAAUGUCAACAAGAGCCGCUCCAUCCACGACCUCCAGAAUGUCAACUAGAGCAACGGUGGCCUCAAACCAACCGAGGACACUGCAGCCAGGUGCGCCGACCUCAAAAACGGCUAGGACGAUGGCCCCACCCUUGUCCGCAACGACAAGUCGUAGUCGUGCCGCUCCCACACGUCCAACUGCUUCAAGCACACACCGAUGA